rnacentral:rRNA from 1 species
GAACGAACGCUGGCGGCAUGCCUAACACAUGCAAGUCGAACGAGACCUUCGGGUCUAGUGGCGCACGGGUGCGUAACGCGUGGGAACCUGCCCUUAGGUUCGGAAUAACUCCCCGAAAGGGGUGCUAAUACCGGAUAAUGUCUUCGGACCAAAGAUUUAUCGCCUUUGGAUGGGCCCGCGUUGGAUUAGCUAGUUGGUAGGGUAAAAGCCUACCAAGGCGACGAUCCAUAGCUGGCCUGAGAGGAUGAUCAGCCACACUGGGACUGAGACACGGCCCAGACUCCUACGGGAGGCAGCAGUGGGGAAUAUUGGACAAUGGGCGAAAGCCUGAUCCAGCAAUGCCGCGUGAGUGAUGAAGGCCUUAGGGUUGUAAAGCUCUUUUACCCGGGAUGAUAAUGACAGUACCGGGAGAAUAAGCUCCGGCUAACUCCGUG